GCCCAGCCGUAAACUUUAAAUUACACCUACAUCGCCUGAGAACUACGAGCGAAGCUUAAAACUCAAAGGACUUGACGGUACCCCAUAUCCCCCUAGAGGAGCCUGUCCUAUAAUCGAUAACCCCCGUUGGACCUCACCAUUUUUAGCUAAUCAGCCUGUAUACCUCCGUCGUCAGCUUACCACGUGAGCGAAAUUUAGUGAGCUUAAUGCCUUUACACCAACACGUCAGGUCAAGGUGCAGCAAAUGAAAUGGAAAGAGAUGGGCUACACUUUCUAAUGUAGAACACACGAAAGACUUUAUGAAACCUAGUCUGAAGGCGGAUUUAGCAGUAAAGAGAAAUCAGAAUAUUCUCUUUAACCCGGCACUGGGGUGUGUACACACCGCCCGUCACCCUCUUCAUAAGCCAGAUAAAGUACUUAACUAAUUAACGCACAAUAGAAGAGGCAAGUCGUAACAUGGUAAGUAUACCGGAAGGUGUGCUUGGCAAA
rnacentral:rRNA from 1 species